ACUCGAGUGGCGAACGGGUGAGUAACACGUGGGUGAUCUGCCCUGCACUUCGGGAUAAGCUUGGGAAACUGGGUCUAAUACCGGAUAGGAGCCAUCUUUAGUGUGGUGGUUGGAAAGUUUUUCGGUGUAGGAUGAGCUCGCGGCCUAUCAGCUUGUUGGUGGGGUAAUGGCCUACCAAGGCGGCGACGGGUAGCCGGCCUGAGAGGGUGUACGGCCACAUUGGGACUGAGAUACGGCCCAG
rnacentral:rRNA from 1 species